GUGGGGAAUUUUGGACAAUGGGCGAAAGCCUGAUCCAGCAAUGCCGCGUGCAGGAUGAAGGCCCUCGGGUUGUAAACUGCUUUUGUACGGAACGAAAAGCCUGGGGCUAAUAUCCCCGGGUCAUGACGGUACCGUAAGAAUAAGCACCGGCUAACUACGUGCCAGCAGCCGCGGUAAUACGUAGGGUGCAAGCGUUAAUCGGAAUUACUGGGCGUAAAGCGUGCGCAGGCGGUUUUGUAAGACAGUGGUGAAAUCCCCGGGCUCAACCUGGGAACUGCCAUUGUGACUGCAAAGCUAGAGUGCGGCAGAGGGGGAUGGAAUUCCGCGUGUAGCAGUGAAAUGCGUAGAUAUGCGGAGGAACACCGAUGGCGAAGGCAAUCCCCUGGGCCUGCACUGACGCUCAUGCACGAAAGCGUGGGGAGCAAACAGGAUUAGAUACCCUUGUAGUCC
rnacentral:rRNA from 1 species